CCGCGCUAGACGGGGAGCUAGCCGUGCCCUGUAGCCCGCAAUCGGCUUAGCGGGGUCGAAUUCCUGCCUGAGGUCCUUUUUGUGUAAGGUCUGGUUUGCCUUGAAGGUGUUGAUGAUCGGGUCCUACGCAACGAGAGCUUUCGAACCGUGUCAGGUCCUGGCGGAAGCAGCACUAAGGAAGAUUUCUCGUGUGCCGUAGGGGUGCCUGGUUUGAGCUGGAUAGGCAAAGUCCGCUUGGGCAAAUUGGAUCGGAGGCAGGUGCGCGG
rnacentral:SRP_RNA from 1 species